AAACCGUAUGAUGAAUCUGAAUUUACAUUUUCUCACAACGGUCGCCUGAGAUACAUUUUGAUGGAAUGAUCCAUUAAUUCUGACGGGG